UACAGAGGGGGCAAGCGUUGUUCGGAAUUACUGGGCGUAAAGGGCGCGUAGGCGGCCUCUUAAGUCGAACGUGAAAUCCCCGGGCUCAACCCGGGAACUGCGUCCGAUACUGGGGGGCUUGAAUCCGGGAGAGGGAUGUGGAAUUCCAGGUGUAGCGGUGAAAUGCGUAGAUAAUCGGGAAGAACACCCGUGGCGAAGGCGGCUCUCUGGGACGGUACUGACGCUGAGACGCGAAAGCGUGGGGAGCGAACGAGGAUUGAGAUACCCU
rnacentral:rRNA from 1 species